UCUCCAGGCCCCAAACGGACACCUGUCUGGACUGAGUGACUAAUCCGCACAGGGGCCCUGCGGCUGAAAAACAAAUGCCCUGGAUAUGAGCUGGCUCUGCUCCAAGAGCUCCAAAGCCCACUCCUAUCUGAGGGAGGCCACGUCUCUCCCUGGGUGCAGCAAUUUCCAAUUACUUUAGGAGGAAGAAGGAAUAGGGGAAAUUUCACAAGACGACAGCCAGGCCCCUCUGGGAGGCUUGUCCUGAAGGCUCCUCACCUCUGUGCUCCCUGUGCACUGGCCACCCACAGGUUCCUUUAUGAAGUUCAGCCAACAGAGGCCCCAGCCCUGAGAGGGAAAAGGCCUAAUUAAAAUCACACUUUGCGCUGCCAAAUUGGAUAUGCUAGUCUCGGCUCCAAGAAUGUCUUGGAAAAGUAUCUGUAGUUGAGUGAGUCUUUCCCAGAAGGGACCUUUUCUUGUAAAAAAUGGCCAAUUCAGAGGAUGGAGGGAGGGGGAUCUAGGUUUUAAAUUUUCUGCUGGUCCACAGCUCACGCCUCUUGCAUCCCCUCUGGUGCCCAUGUAUUUUGUUAUACAUGAUGGGGCGUCCAUGUCCUCCCUUUACAUGAAUCUUGCAAGACUGAAAAGAAUGAAAAUUCAUCACCAAGGUCUGCAGGCAGUGUAGUGCAGUGAUAGAAGAACUGACUAGCAACUUCCUCAGAAGGUUCAGCCUCCCACCACCCUGGUCGUUCAUGAGAAGUCAGACUGACCAGCUCCACAACCUGAAUGUCAGGCUUUCCUUACUCUUUGGAUGAAAAGCACAACACAGAGCAGGGAUCAGGUUUUCUGAGCAGCUGCUGAAAGAGCCAGAUGGAACAAUCCCGAUGCGUGGGGUAUUAACUGUGAAUGACCGAAGGCAGAAGAAGAAAUCCCACUUCCUUCCUCUGUCACCUGGACUGUCCUGAGGUGUGGAUUCUCUCUGCUGGCUGCUUGGCUGUAUCCAUGUGGAUACACCUUUCCUGGCACAGCUAUGCCUCUUCAAGCAGAUGAUGCUUUGGAAGAUUCCAUGAAGUCUGAUGUGCAAGCUGAAUGACCCCCCAGGUCUGAGUGAGAUCUGGAAGAAGAGGCUGACGUCUGUUCCCUCUGCCUGAAAUAUGUUCCCCACUUUUUUCAUUUGGCCAAUUUCCAUUCAUUUUUCAGGUCUUAAAGAAGCCUCUCUUGAACACUACAGACUGGCAACUGCAUGAGUUAGUAGAGUGACUGAGAGAGAGACUUGGGCUUUCCUUCAACAGUGCAAAGUUGUUAGGAAGCAGCUGCCUUCCCAGGGAUUUUUGAA